rnacentral:piRNA from 1 species
UGCCACUCGAAGAUCUGAAAGAUCACCA